ACUCCGAAACUGCAUUCGAUACUGCCGUGCUUGAGGACUGGAGAGGAGACUGGAAUUUACGGUGUAGCGGUGAAAUGCGUAGAUAUCGUAAGGAAGACCAGUGGCGAAGGCGGGUCUCUGGACAGUUCCUGACGCUGAGGCACGAAGGUCAGGGGAGCAAACGGGAUUAGAUACCCCGGUAGUCCUGACAGUAAACGGUGCACGUUUGGUGUGGGAGGAUUCGACCCCUUCUGCGCCGGAGCUAACGCGUUAAACGUGCCGCCUGGGGAGUACGGUCGCAAGAUUAAAACUCAAAGAAAUUGACGGGGGCCCGCACAAGCGGUGGAGUAUGUGGCUCAAUUCGAUGCAACGCGAAGAACCUUACCAGGCCUUGACAUGCAUUGCUAAGUUGGUGAAAGCCAGCGACUGG
rnacentral:rRNA from 1 species